UUUUUGACAAAACAAUGCACAUAUAUCGGGUACUAGCAUCAUUAAGUCAUGCUAAAUUACUGAAAUCUUCACAAUUUUAGCAUUUUAGUUAAAUUUAAGACGGUUUCUGUCUUAAAUGAAAGUGACCGCAUUUGUAUUCAUUCUUAAUAUUGAAAUGUAAGUUGUAUUUGAUGAUAAUAUAUAACAUCUAUAAAGGUUGAGGAUGAACACGGAUGCG
rnacentral:lncRNA from 1 species